GAUGAACGCUGGCGGCGUGCCUAAUACAUGCAAGUCGAGCGAACAGACGAGGAGCUUGCUCCUCUGACGUUAGCGGCGGACGGGUGAGUAACACGUGGAUAACCUACCUAUAAGACUGGGAUAACUUCGGGAAACCGGAGCUAAUACCGGAUAAUAUAUUGAACCGCAUGGUUCAAAAGUGAAAGACGGUUUUGCUGUCACUUAUAGAUGGAUCCGCGCUGCAUUAGCUAGUUGGUAAGGUAACGGCUUACCAAGGCAACGAUGCGUAGCCGACCUGAGAGGGUGAUCGGCCACACUGGAACUGAGACACGGUCCAGACUCCUACGGGAGGCAGCAGUAGGGAAUCUUCCGCAAUGGGCGAAAGCCUGACGGAGCAACGCCGCGUGAGUGAUGAAGGUCUUCGGAUCGUAAAACUCUGUUAUUAGGGAAGAAAAAAUGUGUAAGUAACUAUGCACGUCUUGACGGUACCUAAUCAGAAAGCCACGGCUAACUACGUG
rnacentral:rRNA from 1 species